rnacentral:hammerhead_ribozyme from 1 species
AUUCAUCUGAAGAGUCCCAAAUAGGACGAAACGCGCGUCCUGGAU